rnacentral:rRNA from 1 species
AUUGAACGCUGGCGGAAUGCUUUACACAUGCAAGUCGAACGGCAGCACGGACUUCGGUCUGGUGGCGAGUGGCGAACGGGUGAGUAAUGUAUCGGAACGUGCCCAGUCGUGGGGGAUAACGUAGUGAAAAUUACGCUAAUACCGCAUACGAUCUAUGGAUGAAAGCGGGGGAUCGCAAGACCUCGCGCGAUUGGAGCGGCCGAUAUCAGAUUAGGUGGUUGGUGGGGUAAAGGCCCACCAAGCCAACGAUCUGUAGCUGGUCUGAGAGGACGACCAGCCACACUGGAACUGAGACACGGUCCAGACUCCUACGGGAGGCAGCAGUGGGGAAUUUUGGACAAUGGGCGAAAGCCUGAUCCAGCCAUUCCGCGUGCAGGAUGAAGGCCCUCGGGUUGUAAACUGCUUUUGUACAGAACGAAAAGGUUUCUACUAGUACUAGGAGCUCAUGACGGUACUGUAAGAAUAAGCACCGGCUAACUACGUGCCAGCAGCCGCGGUAA